rnacentral:rRNA from 1 species
GACGAACGCUGGCGGCGUGCUUAACACAUGCAAGUCGAACGGAAAGGCCCUGCUUUUGUGGGGUGCUCGAGUGGCGAACGGGUGAGUAACACGUGAGUAACCUGCCCUUGACUUUGGGAUAACUUCAGGAAACUGGGGCUAAUACCGGAUAGGAGCUCCUGCUGCAUGGUGGGGGUUGGAAAGUUUCGGCGGUUGGGGAUGGACUCGCGGCUUAUCAGCUUGUUGGUGGGGUAGUGGCUUACCAAGGCUUUGACGGGUAGCCGGCCUGAGAGGGUGACCGGCCACAUUGGGACUGAGAUACGGCCCAGACUCCGACGGGAGGCAGCAGUGGGGAAUAUUGCACAAUGGGCGGAAGCCUGAUGCAGAAACGCCGCGUGCGGGAUGACGGCCUUCGGGUUGUAAACCGCUUUCGCCUGUGACGAAGCGUGAGUGACGGUAAUGGGUAAAGAAGCACCGGCUAACUACGU